rnacentral:lncRNA from 15 species
AUGGCGGGUCAACAUGGCGGAGUCAACCAAAGGCGACCUGCGAUAAAAAUCCUUCUAAGGGAGCUUAAUGCGAUCGAUCAGCCAGGCCCUUUCAAGAUCAGCGCCAGUAUAAGCAUCUCUUCCCCUAACACACAUGCUGCCUCUUUCCCCUCAGAUGCUGAGACAUGAUGAGAGACCCUCAGUCCCAGCCACCAUAAAUAUUCUACGUGUUUAAGAAACAGUCCUUCACCUGCUGCAUGGUCUGAACCCUCACAAAAAAAAUCAGGAGGCUAACUAACUAAAAUAGUUAAUAAGAUGAGAAAGAAGGAGAAAAACAUUUCUACUCCUCAAAAUUAUGUUUGAAAUUGUAUGUUCACUCUCCUGCUUAAACCAAUCUCAGCUUUUAGGCCAGAACACAACACUGACAUGAACUGGAGUGCGGAACUUUUACAUAUGGCUAUAUAUCUGUUAUAUGCGACCCCUUUCCAAAAGAGUCCACACAACUGAUUAAGCCUGUCACCACCCAGUAAAUUUUGCAGUAUACCUGAGUUUUUAAAUCUGGUGCUUGUGGCGACAUUCUUGUGCCAGCACACCAGUAGUGACGCGUUUUACGUCAAACAGCAACGGCUGGUUUGUCAGGGCUAAAGGGGGGUGCAACCAUAGUGGUGGAGUAAGCUAUAGCAACUAGAGAGAGAGUGUGGUGGAUCCUUUAAAAACCAAACAUGAUGCAUCAUACUGUGAAAACUCCUUCCACCGCAGACAGAGGGAAAACAAUUGGCAACCAACGGCUGAAACAAAAUUCCUGUAGCUUGGUAAAAACAAUAGAUUUCACCAUGUCAAAGGAUUAUUUGGAAUAUAUAUAUAACCCUACUUAACCCUAUAUUAGUGUCCCUUCCCCUUACCUUUGCUUUUUUUUUUUGGAGAAAUGACCCCACUGAAAGGCCAGAAAUGAAAUACUAUGAUAAUUGCAACUACUUGAUUGAAUCACCUGCUAACAUCAUCACUUAAUUUAAGACAGAUUAAAAUCAGGACCUUCAUAGCUUCAGCCUCUGCAGUUUUUUGCCUGUAUCCACUUCUGUCUUCUUAAAGGCUCAAGCAAUAAAUUCUUUUCUCCUCCGGUGUGGUCGGGACUUCAUUGC